AGAUCACAAACCCUAGAAAUUGUUUUGAAAAUCUUAUAUAUUUUGAUCGGGUUUGCUGAUCAAAUUUGUAGUCUUUUUUUUAUUAAUUAUUUUACAACUGUUAUACAGUUUUAACAAGCUCAAAAAGGAAGAAAGGUGUCAGUCUUUGAUCGGGUUUGGUGUUUGUUCGUAAUCCAUUUACAAUAUAAUUUGAACGAAGGGAGAUUGACUUGCUAAUAUAAGAUAGUUUGUUCAUGAUGGCCACUGCUGCUACAUGUGCAUUCUUCCCUGCUGCUAAUCAACCUCCUGAGUCUGGAGCAAAAUCGUCUGGAAAUUUAGGAGGAAGUCUUCCUGGAAGUAUAGAUACACGGGGGCUUAAUGUUAAGAAGCCUUCUUUUGGGAGCCUACAAGCUAAGGCCAAUGCACAAGCACCACCUAAGGUGAAUGGAACAAAGGUAGGCGUUAUGGAUGGCUUCAAGAACGAUGAUGAGGUGAUUUCUUCACAUCACCCAAGGACUUUUAUCAACCAGUUACCUGAUUGGAGCAUGCUCCUCGCUGCCAUCACGACAAUUUUUUUAGCUGCUGAGAAGCAAUGGAUGAUGCUUGAUUGGAAGCCUAAGCGUCCUGAUAUGCUCGCUGAUCCAUUCGGCUUAGGAAAAAUUGUGCAGGAUGGCUUUGUUUUCCGUCAAAAUUUCAGCAUCAGGUCCUAUGAAAUAGGGGCUGAUAGGACUGCGUCUAUAGAAACAAUGAUGAAUCAUUUACAGGAAACUGCUCUUAACCAUGUCAAGAGUGCUGGACUCAUGCAUGGUGGGUUUGGAUCAACUCCAGAGAUGUCCAAGAGAAAUUUGAUUUGGGUCGUUACGAAAAUGCAGGUUGUGGUGGACCGUUAUCCUACUUGGGGUGAUGUUGUUCAAGUAGACACUUG
rnacentral:misc_RNA from 1 species